AAAACUCCAAACAUGGAGGAUUUUUGAGGUUAUGACUGUAGUAAGGAUGGUUAUAUAUUCGUGUUCAGUGAAUAGGAUUUUCUAAUUUUGAAUGGCAAUAAAGCUUGUAUAAUUUUAACAUUUCAAAAUUUUCAAUCAAAAAUGUUAUCACAGCAGUUGACAAAGCGCUCACUCAAGUGCAAACUUUGCUUGGAUAUUUAGCCUUUCGUUUUAUUUUUGUUUCUUCUUCAUCUUCUUGAUUUCUCACUUUGUCCUAUCGUGCCCUGUGAAGCUGUGAAUCCCCGAAAGUGAAACUGAUUCAUUCAUUUGUUUAUUUUUGUUGUGUCCUAGUGCUAGUAUUUAUUGUUUUGAAUUCAAAAAUUGUUAUGCUUUAUACAGGCUUUGAAUAGAAUAAAUUUGAAAGCACAACGGUAAGAACUGAAUCACCAAUUUUGAAUAGAGCUCAAAUUCCAACCGUGUUUAAAAUUUCCAUUUCGGUAGUUAAUUGUUCAUUUGAAAUUUGAACAAUAAAUAUCGAAUACAACAGGCUUAGUAAUGCCCGCUACUAUUCAUCCAGCAUUUUUAGCUUUAGCUGCUGUUGUUGGAAUCGGUUAUGCUAUUUAUUCAAUUUUUUCUGAAAGCCAACAGAGAUGUCUUGAAGAUCCAUCAUCUCACUCACAUCAAAGACGAUCAAAUUCAUCAUAUGAUAGACCGGAAGAGAACUAUGACACACAUCCAGCGAUUUGAGAGCUAGAAGAAGUAGUAACACAAGGACCAGAGAUUGUGCAAUCUGCUUGGAGAGAUUAUCAGCACAACGAGAAACAAGGCUGCCUUGCCACCACGUAUUCCAUAGAAGUUGUUUGGAGCAAUGGUUUAAUGAAAGACGCGUGUGUCCCACCUGUCGACGAGAUAUACCAUGGCACUAUAAUUUAUAAUGACAAUCAAGGGCAUUCUGUAAAGGAUAGAUGACAUCUUUGAAGUUUAACCCUUUUCCUGCUACAAUAAUAACUAAUUAUAGUGACAAAUCGGUUUUUUUAUAAAUAUGUCACUUUUCAAAGUGCCUAAUUCGUUCUUAUUAAUCUAUUUAGGUUAUAAAAGUUAAUCUUGUAAUGAGUUUGAAGUUAUUAGAAGAUUUUUGAUGUUGUGGUUUUGCCAGUUAUUGUAUUGAUUGUUUUUGUAUUCAACGUUAUUUUUUACAUAGUAAUGGAGAUUAAUUAAGAAUUUGAUGAUCAUCUACAUCAAUUUUGGUCAAAGUAAUUGAUAUUAUUAACAUGGAUAUCAAUUUUUAUUUUCUUUACCAUUAAUAUCAAUUAUUAUUUUUCUUUUGAAUAGAGUAUCGUUGUUUAUUUGAGUAUCAGUUUAUUCAGCGGUUAGAUUCUACCUUAUCUUGCAAAGCAAAUAAAAGAUUAAUACAAUUUGCGCUAAUCAACACUAAGUUAAUAUUUCAAUACUUAUUCAAAGCAAACAAAAAUCUUUCAGGUACUAGAAAUACUGUGCAAAUUUCUACUGUAUUCUAAAGCGCACAUAAAUUACCUCCAUAUUCUUACCUAGGUGCCUGUUGCACAAAAGUCGGUUAAAUUUUAAUCUGGAUUAACUUCACGUUAAACAAUCAGAGGAGACCAUUUUAAAAAGACGGCUUUUCUGAUUGGCUCUCGUAGAAUUCAUCAGGAUUAAAAUUUGACCGUUUUUUGUGCACUUGGUGUUGUAGUUGUAGAAAAAUAAUGAAAAAUAUUUCUUACAAAAGUAAAAAAUAAAUUAUUCACCAAGAAAUGAUAAUUAUACUUUGAAAAUUGAGCUACCUUCAAUUUAUAAUACAUUUAUUCAUGAUGUGAUAUGAUCAUUAUUAAAAUCUAUAAUUAAAUACUACUCGUGUUAUCAUAUUGCUCAAUCUUAAAAACGGCUUUCAUGUAAAUUAUUGUUAUGAUAUUCUAUUCGAAUUAAUAGCAACAAUGCAGAAAAUAUUUGUUUUCUAAUUUUGUUAUGAUUGACAUUACAGUAGAUGAACUAGAUAGAACGACCUAUUGAUUUCAAGAAUCAAUUAUCUGAUGAACUCAUGAACAAUUUUGUGAAUUUGUUUGAUGAGUGAUGAUUAUUCAUUGUUAUAAAUGUAGCUAAGCUACUAUUUUGAAGUUUACAAAUGCAAAUUUUUCACUCCAGGUUUAAUCAAUAAAUUGCAAUAAUUCAAUGUGAUACAGUAUAGUAAUUCGAGUUGAUAACUUUCAAUAUAUCAAGAUAAUAAUAAUAAUAUUGUAUUAUUUGUGACAAAAAAUAUAGGUUUUUUAUAACAUGAUGGCACUUGAGACUAUGUCCAUAUUUCAUCUGUGGCCUUCAAAAAUCGCGGUUUAAUAGUAGUCUACAAUUUGUCACCAAUAUAUCUAAUUUCUAAAAUUAAGAAACUUGUUCACUAAAUUUAUAAUAUAUAAGAGCAAUAUUUCAAUAAGUGACUAAUAGUGUGUAAUUUAUUUUGUCUGUAAUACUGUAGUAAGGAAUAGUUAGUAUUGAUUUAGAAUAGACUAUAUUUUUGUAGCAUUGUAUCCCAAUGAAUGGUAUAGAAUAUGUCUAUUGCCUCUACUGUAUCAUACUAUCAUUAUAAUCAAAAUAUACUAUUCCAUCUUACUAUAGUUAGCCCGAGCUGUAUCGUAUGGAUAAAUCUUUUGCUUCCAAUAAUUAUUGAAGUGGUUUAGUGAAAAAUUAUAAUUAUUUCCACAGGAAAUUGUAUUGCUAGCAUAUCUAAAAAUUGAAAAGAAUACAUGGCUGUUGCGACCCAUACACUUUGUAUAUUAUUGUACAAUAUAUAGUACGGCACCUACUUACAAGCAGGCCUUACAACUGUUGUAAACACUUUUUUGUUAUUAAAUAGAACGACUAGCAGUCAAAUUUCUUCAAAAAAAA